rnacentral:rRNA from 1 species
GCCUACGGGAGGCAGCAGUAGGGAAUUUUCGUCAAUGGGCGCAAGCCUGAACGAGCAAUGCCGCGUGAACGAGGAAGGUCUUCGGAUCGUAAAGUUCUGUUGAAGGGGAAAAAGAGCGGAGAGAGGAAAUGGUCUCCGAUUGAUAUUACCCUUCGAGGAAGUCACGGCUAACUACGUGCCAGCAGCCGCGGUAAUACGUAGGGAGCAAGCGUUAUCCGGAUUUACUGGGUGUAAAGGGCGCGUAGGCGGGAUGGCAAGUCAGAUGUGAAAUCCAGGGGCUCAACCCCUGAACUGCAUUUGAAACU